rnacentral:rRNA from 1 species
AGAGUUUGAUCAUGGCUCAGGAUGAACGCUAGCUACAGGCCUAACACAUGCAAGUCGAGGGGCAUCGGGAGGGAAGCUUGCUUCCCUUGCCGGCGACCGGCGCACGGGUGAGUAACGCGUAUCGAACCUGCCCCAUACCCGGGGAUAGCCUUGCGAAAGUAAGAUUAAUACCCGAUGGUUUCCUUUUAUCUCCUGAUAUUAGGAAUAAAGAAAUUCGGUAUGGGAUGGCGAUGCGUCCGAUUAGCUAGUUGGCGGGGUAACGGCCCACCAAGGCGACGAUCGGUAGGGGUUCUGAGAGGAAGGUCCCCCAUAUUGGAACUGAGACACGGUCCAAACUCCUACGGGAGGCAGCAGUGAGGAAUAUUGGUCAAUGGGCGAAAGCCUGAACCAGCCAAGUAGCGUGCAGGAUGACGGCCCUAUGGGUUGUAAACUGCUUUUAGGCGGGGGUAAAGGAGCGGACGUGUUCCGCUUUUGCAAGUACCGCCAGAAAAAGGACCGGCUAAUUCCGUGCCAGCAGCCGCGGUAAUACGGAAGGUCCGGGCGUUAUCCGGAUUUAUUGGGUUUAAAGGGAGCGUAGGCGGGCUAUUAAGUCAGCUGUGAAAUCCGGCGGCUCAACCGUCGGCCUGCAGUUGAUACUGGUGGUCUUGAGUGCGCGCAGGGGCGUCGGAAUUCAUGGUGUAGCGGUGAAAUGCUCAGAUAUCAUGAAGAACUCCGAUCGCGAAGGCAGAUGCCCGGAGCGCAACUGACGCUGAGGCUCGAAAGUGCGGGUAUCAAACAGGAUUAGAUACCCUGGUAGUCCGCACAGUAAACGAUGGAUACUCGCGGUUCGGCUUUAGAGCGGAGCCGCC